rnacentral:lncRNA from 1 species
AUGCAGAAAGGGUUCCCGAGAGAGGGUCGGAACGCUCCCCUUACCGGAGGGCCCUCGCCUUCCACUGGAUGGGAAGCAAACUCCGACUUCAGAGGCACGGGGUUUGGCCUGCCACCCAGAGCCUUCCUUCCCGGCGUCGCAUCUCCCAGCGGGCCCACCGCUGAUUCUGCACACCCCGACGCAGUCACCGGGGAGGCGGAGCAGGCUGGGACCAGGACAGCCAGCUCCCCGAAGUCACGUCCACAGCGCCCCGGGACGGCGGACGCUCCCCGGGUCCGCUCGGGCACGUCAGCUUCGGUGGGGGCAGGGGGCGCGCAGCCGGCAGCCUCGAGAACCAGCGACUCCGACGCGGACGCGCCAACCACUGCCGUUAACUUUGCCGCCAGCGGGACUUCCGGCGCGAGGCGGGGCGGCUGGCGGCUGGCGGCUUCCGGCUUCCAGGACCCCGUCCUCCUCCCGCCGCAGCCCGCCCCUCCUCCCGGCCCCGGUCCCGGUCCCGGCCCCGGCCCCGGUCCCGGUCCCGGUCCCGGACCCCCUCGCCACCCCGAGGCCCCGCCCCCUGCCCGGUCCCCCUCGCCACCCCGAGGCCCCGCCCCCUGCCCGGUCCCCCUCGCCACCCCGAGGCCCCGCCCCCUGCCCGGGUCCCCCUCGCCACCCCGAGGCCCCGCCCCCUGCCCGGUCCCCCUCGCCACCCCGAGGCCCCGCCCCCUGCCCGGUCCCCCUCGCCACCCCGAGGCCCCGCCCCCUGCCCGGUCCCCCUCGCCACCCCGAGGCCCCGCCCCCUGCCCGGUCCCCCUCGCCACCCCGAGGCCCCGCCCCCUGCCCGGGUCCCCCUCGCCACCCCGAGGCCCCGCCCCCUGCCCGGUCCCCCUCGCCACCCCGAGGCCCCGCCCCCUGCCCGGUCCCCCUCGCCACCCCGAGGCCCCGCCCCCUGCCCGGUCCCCCUCGCCACCCCGAGGCCCCGCCCCCUGCCCGGGUCCCCCUCGCCACCCCGAGGCCCCGCCCCCUGCCCGGUCCCCCUCGCCACCCCGAGGCCCCGCCCCCUGCCCGGUCCCCCUCGCCACCCCGAGGCCCCGC